CCUUAAAUCCCCCUUUAAAAGAACAUAGUAUUUUUUCCUCACUCAUCACUGUCAUACAAUAGAUUUCACUGCAAUUUACCUCUUCAGACAAGAAUUCUCUGACAAACGGCCGAAUUAACGUUUCCUGGAACACAUUUGGCUGAUACAUCUCACCUGGGUACGCCCUGACUCCAGUCACGGUGCAUUCACCGCUCUGAGGAGAGGCUGCCCGGCACUGCCCUUCUCAGCCACGGCGCACGUUUCCAAAGCACUCAGCUUCGCUUCUUCCUAAUUUUCAAAUCACUUUGUGAUUAAAAGCGAAGGAAAGGAAAUAAUUCCAUCACAAUAAGACAGCCCAGAGUGGACUCAUCCUCCAAACUAUCAAUAAGGGAAUGACCGGGCAACCACUGCCCCAGGCGCCAUCUUGUUGGGCAGGUGAGCGUGCUGGAGAGUCCACGCUACAGGCAAUCUCUUCCCAGGGGCUGGAGGCACCUUUGGGAGAAGAAAGGCAGAUGAAAAAGAGAACAUGAUGUGAGCACUGAAAAGACGAGAGGCACACAAAAAAUGUGAACUGCUGAAUUUACUGUCUAGCUAUAAUGAGGUCUCUCUCCAAACACUGUAGAGAAGGUAAACUACUACUAAGCUGCCUUCAGUCCACAUACUUCUGUCCCUUCAGAC